ACCCCUGCCUGCCCCCACGAUGGCUCAUGGCCCCGUUGAGGCAGUGAAGCUGGAGGCCCGUGGCGUGCACAGGCAGCCACUCCCACACUAUGACCGGGGCCCAAGAAUGCCAAGGACAUUAGGCAGGAUCUGCCCAGGACACAGGGUUCCCAGUGCAGCUUCCUGUGGACCCUGGCACCCGGGGCAGCAACUGAUGUGCAGGUGUUCAUCAGGACCACGAGCGCCCGUGUCUAAGACACCAAUUGUUCCUGACUGCACUGCUCCUGCCUGCACGUAACUGAGGACGCCCCCAACCCAUGGCCAUGGCCCCUCGGGCCGUCACACAGGGCUGCGGCUCACGGGGUCCUGCUAGAGCAGGCGUCUGUCCUCAGUCAGUGCGACCGUCUUGAAACCCACCCUG